AAUGGCAGGUCAGCAUACUGCCGUGAAUACGUUCCCGGGCCUUGUACACACCGCCCGUCACACCAUGAGAGUUGGAGAUACCCGAAGCCUAUGAGCUAACUUUUAGAGGNAGUAGUCGAAGGUAGAAUCAAUGAUUGGGGUGAAGUCGUAACAAGGUAAC
rnacentral:rRNA from 1 species